rnacentral:rRNA from 1 species
GCAGGUGCGUUAAUAGCGCACUUGCUUGACUAAGGCUCCUGAGGAAGCCACGGCUAACUCUGUGCCAGCAGCCGCGGUAAUACAGAGGCGGCAAGCGUUGUUCGGAAUUAUUGGGCGUAAAGAGCACGUAGGCGGCCUUGCAAGUCAGUUGUGAAAGCCUUCCGCUUAACGGAAGAACGGCAUCUGAUACUACAGGGCUUGAGUACGGGAGGGGAGAGUGGAACUUCUGGU